GGGAUUGGAGGUGGCGGCGGGGCCGGUCCCCGAGGUUGCGGAAGAGAGUGAGGGGCGGGGCCUGCGAGGGGCGGGGCCUAGUCUCCUUGGCAACCCGGAUCAGGACGUGGGAUUGGAGCUGGCGGCGGGGCCGGUCCCCGAGGUUGCGGAAGAGGACGAGGGGCGGGGCCUGCGCGGGGCGGGGUCGUUCCCCUCCUCUUCUCCAAAACCCAUAAAGACCCCCGCUGCCCUCAUUCUUUCUCCCGGGUGAGGUCCCACUAUUCUGUCCCCUCUGCGUCCUCACUGCUCCUGGGUCGCCGGGCGCGCCCUCACCCCCGGGCCUUUGCACUGGCUGUGCCUCCGCCGGGUGCACCGUUCCCAGACACCAGCGUGGCUCCCUUCCUCACCUCUUUCAAGUCUUCGCCCAAACGUCUCACCUGCCGAGAAGCCGUCCUCAGCUGCGCUCGUUUCCACCUGAUAAGCUGUAGGGCCGGAACGUUGCAUGGGGGUUGUGACGGAGCCACGAUGAACGUGGUGCACUGGCAGCGUUGAGCGCCCUGAGGCUCCACGUGUUCGCCGAUUUGGGUUGGAAUCAGGCCUCGGGGAGCGGCCUCUGGGGCUGGAGAGAAGCCACAGCCCCUCCCGGCCGAAUCCCCACAGGAGGGAACAUUCCUACAGGUGUGAAUGUUCUGAUGGGUGUGAAUUCCUAUGGGUGUAAACAUCAUCACAGGUGUGAAUAUUCCUGCAGGUGUGUUUCCAAAGGUGGCGGCCUCGUCCCCGAGCCAGGCGCACACUCACCAAGUCAGGGGAUCCGCGGCCGCAGACACGAAGCCACGGCUAGUCCACCCGAGGCCCAGGGAGGCUGCCGCUCGCCCACGGUGGCAGCUUCAAGGCUUGGCGGAGGCUGCCUCCUGGGAAAGGACGGGGGGGGGUCCCUCCACCUCCGUCCUGGCAGGGACAAGACCGUCCUUUAUUCACUCAAUGACAACUCAGCGGGGCACUGAGCAUUGCCAUCACCCCAAGAAUGGCCCCAGACACGUCUCCAAUUUUAGCCCAGAGAGACUCAUGUCGGACUCCUGAUCUCCCGGAUUAGAAACUAAUAAAUUUCUGCUAUUUCCAGCAGCUCAAUUUGUGGUGAUUUGUCAGAGCUGCAACAGGAGAUGAAUACAUCGAGCUCUC
rnacentral:lncRNA from 1 species